rnacentral:rRNA from 1 species
UACAGAGGGGGCAAGCGUUGUUCGGAAUUACUGGGCGUAAAGGGCGCGUAGGCGGCCUUCUAAGUCGAACGUGAAAUCCCUGGGCUCAACCCAGGAACUGCGUCCGAUACUGGAAGGCUUGAAUCCGGGAGAGGGAUGCGGAAUUCCAGGUGUAGCGGUGAAAUGCGUAGAUAUCUGGAGGAACACCGGUGGCGAAGGCGGCAUCCUGGACCAAUUCUGACGCUGAGGAGCGAAAGCUAGGGUAGCAAACGGG